UGCAGUGAGCCAAGAUUAUGCUACUGCAAGAAUCUUCCUCUAUGUGGUCUGGUGACUGUCGCAAUGCUAUUUUGUCCUACGUGCUUUGUUUGUUUCUGCAGCUGUCUCCUGCAGGGCAUCUCUCCUUCCUGGACUGGGGUCUGUGUGUCUAUGUGUUGUGGUUCCCUGGUUGUAUCCACCCUGGUCCUCCAGGGCACACAGGGUGAAGAAGCUCUGUCUUCAGAGCACUGUGCACACCACUCGUGCCAUGCAGGAUGCACCCUGGACUCAUGUCAAUGACUAGCUUCUGUCCCUGGCCAUGGGGGACCAUUUUCUGGCCACAAAUCCUGGCAAGAUUUCCAGCCCCCACCCAUGGGCAGACGGCACGUGGUUCCCAGUUAUCGCUUGCAUUUUAGUUUCGGGGAGAUGUUUUCACUUCUGGUCCAUAGAAAUGUCCUUUCAUUAUUUUCAAAUGCUCCAUUCAUACAGCUCUUGUGUGUGUCUGUGUGUGUGGUGUUAUUGAUGUUUUCACUUCGAGUGCAUGGACUUGAAGAGGGAGGUUUCUGUAUAAACUCAAUCUUGACCUAGAAAAUUGUCUUCAGCACUCCAAGCCGAUUUUCUCAUCUGUCAAGUGGGGCUGUUAUGAGGAUGAACUGAGAUAGACUCAUCAGCAAGUAGCACAGUCGACCACAGAGGGAACACCCAUGGAGCCCAUCGAGUCUGCUUUCUGUUAGUGCUGGGAGCAGGACGAGGGUGUCACCCAUCAGUCCCGGCAACAGCAGUGCUGGGGAAGUUCCACAAGUGACCUAAGAAAAAAAAAAAAAAAAAAAAAUUAUAAAACCCAAGUCAGCUAAAAUAGGGAAGUACUGGGCAAGACAAAUGGAUCAACUGAAUAAACAGUGGGAAAGUUGGUCCUACGGUAGAUAAGAUUUCCCUGCGUGUGAAGGAAAGAACACACGUGACCAAGGGAGAGAAAUACUUAUUAAUAACUGGACUCAGGGUAUUUAAAUCUUUGAAAGACAGUCUAUUUAGAGCCUCCUCUCACAUUACAUGCCAAAUUAAUCCCAGAAAUAACUGUGUAUUAAUCUAGAGGGGGAAGAAAGACCUGAAGUUU
rnacentral:lncRNA from 1 species